UACGAAGGGGGCUAGCGUUGAUCGGAAUCACUGGGCGUAAAGCGCACGUAGGCGGCUUUUUAAGUCAGGGGUGAAAUCCUGGAGCUCAACUCCAGAACUGCCUUUGAUACUGAGAAGCUUGAGUCCGGGAGAGGUGAGUGGAACUGCGAGUGUAGAGGUGAAAUUCGUAGAUAUUCGCAAGAACACCAGUGGCGAAGGCGGCUCACUGGCCCGGUACUGACGCUGAGGUGCGAAAGCGUGGGGAGCAAACAGG
rnacentral:rRNA from 1 species